AUGGAUGAUAAAUUUGGGCAUGAUGUUUUCUCCAAAUUGGGUUUUGACUGUUGGAAAAAUGCGGUUGCAGCAUUCCGUAAACAUGUUGGUGGGCCAUGUAGCAUCCACAAUAUUUCAAAAACAGCAUGUGAUGAUUUUAAAAAUCAAAGGGCAAGUGUGAAAAGUAAAGUUACAACUUAUAGCAAAGGUUCACUAGUCAAGUAUGAAACUCGUGUGGAUACAUCUUUGGCCAUUGUAAGUUAUCUAGCAUUGCAAGGUGAACCAUUUCGUGGACACGAUGAAUCCAGUUCUUCUUUGAACAAGGGGAAUUUUUUGGAGCUACUUGAUUGGGUGAAAGAAAGAAUUCCAGAAGUGAAGGUUGCAUUUGAUGAGCUAUGCCCUAAGAAUGCCCAAAUGACUUCCGGAAAAAUUCAAAAAAUCCUUAUUUCCCAUUGUGCAAAUGCGGUCACCAAAGCAAUCAAAGAAGAGAUGGGUGAUUGUCUUUUCUCUGUCCUUAUUGAUGAGUGUCGUGAUAUAUCGGUGAAAGAACAAAUGGUUGUGGUUAUUAGGUACUUGAGCAAACAAGGAGAGACUAUUGAACGAUUUUUAGGUAUUAAGCAUGUCCCGGACACAACAUCUGCUUCUUUAAAGAAGGCAUUGUUGGAGGUUUUUGCAAAACACGGUCUGGUUGUUGCGCGACUACGAGGGCAAGGGUAUGAUGGGGAAUCUAAUAUGAGAGGAGAAUUCAAUGGCCUUCAGAAGUUAAUUCGAGAUGAGAACCCAUAUGCUUUCUAUAUCCAUUGCUUUGCCCACCAACUGCAGUUGGUAGUUGUUGCUGUUUCGAGAUGCUGCAAGGGUGUUGAGGAUUUUUUUGAAUAUGUGACCAUGAUAUCUAAUCUCAGUACGUCAUCUUGCAAGAGGAAGGAUAAAUUGCUUGACAAGCAAAAACAAGUUCUUUUGGAUAAGAUUAGGGGAGGUGAGAUGCCCACAGGAAAAGGGAAAAAUCAAGAAACAUCAUUGGUCAGACCUGGAGAUACAAGAUGGGGCUCUCAUUACACAACCUUAUCUCGCAUUGAAUCAAUGUGGGAUGCAGUCAUAGAAGUUUUGGGCAUUGUUGAGGAUGAUGUGCGUGUUCCAUGUAGAGCAGGAGGUUUGGUUCAUCAAAUGGAGACUUUUAGCUUUGUGUUCAUCCUGAAGAUGAUGCUAAAGAUCCUUCGUAUGACAAAUGAUUUGUCUCUUCUAUUGCAAAAGAAGGAUCAAAAUGUUGUUCAGGCAAUGUCAUUGGUUACGGAUGUGAGAACACGUUUGAUCAACUAG
rnacentral:rRNA from 1 species